ensembl:lncRNA novel transcript
GUUGCAUCAGACAGCAAGCAGCCGGUCGGGCUGCCAGGGUUUCUAGGAAGAUAGGAAGGGUUUGAGAUCCUCUGUGGUCGCCUGGGAGCUUUGGCUGUCACUCACGGUGUUUACAUGCCGGUAACGCGAUCCCCUAAAAUAUCAAGCUUGCACCCAUCAGAGGAGGGCCAUAGCCACAGGUGAAAUUCCCUGAACGCCAUUGCUCCUGUCCUCACUCCACGCCCUGACCCAGGCGGGACUAACUGAACUGGACUUCGUCUGCUUUAUUAAUGGCAAGGGCCCUGAAGGAAUCAGCUGGGUUCGAUUUCUCUUCCCAAGUACAAGAAUGCCCCCUGAGGAAUUUCUCACUCUGUGAAAGUGCAGAACUAAUUUCCCCUGACAAGUGCUAUUGCCGGUUCCCAAAAGGGUUUGGAAGGAUCCCAGCAGAAAUGUUCAGUGGUUUCCAAAUCUCUUUACCCCAGCAGCUGGACACACAGACCCUGAGCUAGGAGCCCCUUUGGGCAUCCAGAACUUCUUGGUGGGUGGACACACGUCCUUGACACAUAGGUCUUCCUUUUGUCGUAUCUCAGGCCCCUUGUUAUGAAGACUUUGGAUAUUAGCCAGAAAAUGCACAACCACAAAUUCAUGCACACAUAUAUAUUGAGCAGCACACAUAUACAAUGAGUUCUCUGGGUCCAAAUGGCUUUAGCAACUCAGGUCAGUGGAAAAGUCGUUCUUACGUUCCCUCACUCUUCCGGCCUCUGGGCCAUUCUUCCUCAAAGAGAGAAAAUAAUGCUGUAUCUAGAAGGGAUAGGACAAGCUAAGCUGGUGGGUGGGAUAUUCAAGAAGAAUGAGAGCACUGAUUUGGAAUCUAGUUUUUAAAGGGAUUUUCAAGGACAUAAUCUGAAUCCCAUGG